rnacentral:rRNA from 1 species
GACGAACGCUGGCGGCGUGCUUAACACAUGCAAGUCGAACGAAGUGGCGAACGGGUGAGUAACGCGUAGGUCACUGCCUGGUAGCGGGGGAUCAAUAUUGGAAACGAUAGCUAAUACCGCAUACUACCAGAUGGACCUGCGUUGUGUUAGCUAGUUGGUGGGGUAACGGCUCACCAAGGCAACGAUACAUAGUCGACCUGAGAGGGUGAUCGGCCAAACGGGGACUGAUGCACGGCCCAGACUCCUACGGGAGGCAGCAGUAGGGAAUCUUCGGCAAUGGACGGAAGUCUGACCGAGCAACGCCGCGUGAGUGAAGAAGGUUUUCGGAUCGUAAAGCUCUGUUGUAAGAGAAGCGGUAUCUUACCAGAAAGCCACGGCUAACUACGUGCCAGCAGCCGCGGUAAUAC